AGAUGGCGACCGGCGCACGGGUGAGUAACACGUAUCCAACCUGCCGAUAGCUCGGGGAUAGCCUUUCGAAAGAAAGAUUAAUACCCGAUGGUAUAAUUAGACCGCAUGGUCUUGUUAUUAAAGAAUUUCGGUUAUCGAUGGGGAUGCGUUCCAUUAGGCAGUUGGUGAGGUAACGGCUCACCAAACCUUCGAUGGAUAGGGGUUCUGAGAGGAAGGUCCCCCACAUUGGAACUGAGACACGGUCCAA
rnacentral:rRNA from 1 species